GGGUAUGCGGAACUUGCAUUCUUUACCACUUGUGGACGUUUCCUGGAAAAACUGCAGUGGGCACAACCAUUUGAGCUGAGAAAGAUAAUUGUACAAACCAGAGAAGAUGUGGAGUCGAAGAAGUGGGCCAAGGCGGAGAAUGCAAUCUUACAUUGCCUUCAAAAGCCGUGGCUCCCGUCGAGACUACAAUGCUAUCAUAAGGAGAACAAUGGAUGAAACGCCAGAGCGUCGCUUGAAGUCAAGUGUUUCAAGAUGUGAAAGUCCACAAUUAUGUAUCAAGUAUCAUACAGUCCCAUUAUGUAUUUAAGUAUCGUAUCGAUCUGAGGUCUUUCUUUAAAAAAGUAGUAUGGAGCGUUGUCUUUGAGUAAGUUUGUGUGAGUCAAGUGUGUUGUCUUUCAAGAUAUUAUGGAUCGUGGUCUUUGAAAGUUUUAUGUUUGUUAA